UACGGAGGGUGCGAGCGUUGUCCGGAAUCACUGGGCGUAAAGGCGCGUAGGCGGCCGUGUAAGUCACUUGUGAAAUCCCGGGGCUCAACUCCGGGGCCGCAGGUGAGACUGCGUGGCUAGAGCACGGUAGAGGCGAGUGGAAUUCCCGGUGUAGCGGUGGAAUGCGUAGAUAUCGGGAAGAACACCGGUGGCGAAGGCGGCUCGCUGGGCCGUUGCUGACGCUGAGGCGCGAAAGCGUGGGGAGCAAACAGG
rnacentral:rRNA from 1 species